AUUGAACGCUGGCGGCAGGCCUAACACAUGCAAGUCGAACGCGUGGCGGACGGGUGAGUAAUGUCUGGGAAACUGCCUGAUGGAGGGGGAUAACUACUGGAAACAGUAGCUAAUACCGCAUACCAUCGGAUGUGCCCAGAUGGGAUUAGCUAGUUGGUGGGGUAAAGGCGCACCAAGGCGACGAUCCCUACCUGGUCUGAGAGGAUGACCGGCCACACGGGAACUUAGACACGGUCCAGACUCCUACGGGAGGCAGCAGUGGGGAAUAGUGCACAGUGGGGGCAAGCCUUAUGCAGCAAGGCCGCGUGUAUUAAGAAGGCCUUCGGGUGGUAAUGUACGGUCAGCGGGGAGGCGUUAGCCGCAGAAGAAGCACCGGCUAACUCCGUGCCAGCAGCCGCGGUAAUUC
rnacentral:rRNA from 1 species